UAGUAACCAAUUAUUUAACAGGAACCUAAGU
rnacentral:piRNA from 1 species